AGUUGAAAAGUUGGGUCAAAUGGUGGUUCCAAGUUUUCCAAGGAAUCUCCAUACUGCUUUCCAGAUUGGCUGCACCAAUUUGCAAUCCCACCAGCAAU
rnacentral:pre_miRNA from 1 species